rnacentral:rRNA from 1 species
UAGGGAAUCUUCGGCAAUGGACGAAAGUCUGACCGAGCAACGCCGCGUGAGUGAAGAAGGUUUUCGGAUCGUAAAACUCUGUUGGUAGAGAAGAACGUUGGUGGGAGUGGAAAGCUCAUCAAGUGACGGUAACUACCCAGAAAGGGACGGCUAACUACGUGCCAGCAGCCGCGGUAAUACGUAGGUCCCGAGCGUUGUCCGGAUUUAUUGGGCGUAAAGCGAGCGCAGGUGGUUUAUUAAGUCUGGUGUAAAAGGCAGUGGCUCAACCAUUGUAUGCAUUGGAAACUGGUAGACUUGAGUGCAGGAGAGGAGAGUGGAAUUCCAUGUGUAGCGGUGAAAUGCGUAGAUAUAUGGAGGAACACCGGUGGCGA